rnacentral:rRNA from 1 species
AUUGAACGCUGGCGGCAUGCCUUACACAUGCAAGUCGAACGGCAGCACGGGAGCAAUCCUGGUGGCGAGUGGCGAACGGGUGAGUAAUAUAUCGGAACGUGCCCAGUCGUGGGGAUAACGUAGCGAAAGCUACGCUAAUACCGCAUACGAUCUAUGGAUGAAAGCGGGGGAUCGCAAGACCUCGCGCGAUUGGAGCGGCCGAUAUCAGAUUAGGUAGUUGGUGAGGUAAAGGCUCACCAAGCCGACGAUCUGUAGCUGGUCUGAGAGGACGACCAGCCACACUGGGACUGAGACACGGCCCAGACUCCUACGGGAGGCAGCAGUGGGGAAUUUUUGGACAAUGGGCGCAAGCCUGAUCCAGCAAUGCCGCGUGCAGGAUGAAGGCCUCGGUGUAC